rnacentral:lncRNA from 1 species
CAGAGCCUCAAAGAGCACCCAGCAUAACUGUGGGAGAAUAGUAAGCAUUGGACACAAAAUGGUUUAGGCAAAUAAUGAUGAACAAAAAUGGUCAGUCUGUGUUCCUGCUGACCCAGCACAGUGGGGACGCUGUGUAGGACAUGACCUUUGGGGGAAAGGACACAAGAACUCAGCGUGGGGGAUCCAGAAAAGAAGUCGCACGUAUUGAAGCCAGUAACGCCAAGCCAGUGAAUUCUCCUUGACGAGAAAGACCCACUUACUCUGCAGAAGAGAUAUAUGACAGCUGACAAUCCCUGGAGGAGAAUCUUUCUACUAAAUUGGUAAGGGAUGCUAAGCAAAUGAUGUGGACUCAGGAAACAACGCAUUUCAUGAUAUACGGUUGCCUCUCAAGGUGAAUUCGAGACCCCUCUUGAAUUACAAAGAGUAACUCCAGGUUGAAGAACUUCUACUUAUAGGCAUCUAUUCAACGAAGACGAAUCCUGGAAUGGGGAUGGAAAUGAUGGCUCAUGUCUUAGCAAACUACCAAACUGAUCCGAGAGGACAGGGAAGUCAGUGUGGGCGGCUCUAAGGAGCCUCCCUCUCUACAGCUGCGGCUCAGAGGAUUACGGCGCUUCAUCCACAAGGCAACAUUGCACAAGUAGCUUUUGAACAAAAGUCAUGGAUACUAUUAAUGAUAUGUUCCCACACACAUUUAGUGUCGUCUCAAAAUUCACGCUGUCAACUGUCUCUAGGAAUCAUUUCCAUCUGAGAACAGACCACACAAAGACACAGUGAAACUCAGUUUCUGCAGAAUUUGAUUUCAUUUGAGUUACUGGGGAACAAAGCAAUUAGACAAUGAAUAAUAGCUCAAGACAGGCUGAAGCUGAAGAUUUCUGCAAAAGAAUGAAGAGGAAACGUUUUGAUCCUGAGCAGAUGUUCUCCCUAGAUUGCUUCACCUGAGGUUGAUUGACUUUUGGAAACGAGAUUUGUUCCCAGUGCUUUGUGAGUCUCUUGUUGGAAGGACUGUCUUUAAAUUAAAGCAAUUAGAGUUACUUUAUAAGAUUUACCCAAAUAUAAGAGCUGAAGAGAAUAAUUCAAAUUGAUCAGAAGAAAAUACUCAAUUACUGACAAAUGUCAAUUACAUCAAUAGCCUAGGCUGCUCUUGAACUCCUGGGCUCAAACGAUCCUCC